AUUGAACGCUCGCGGGAUGCUUUACACAUGCAAGUCGAACGGCAGCGCGGACUUCGGUCUGGCGGCGAGUGGCGAACGGGUGAGUAAUGUAUCGGAACGUGCCCAGUAGCGGGGGAUAACUACGCGAAAGCGUAGCUAAUACCGCAUACGCCCUACGGGGGAAAGCAGGGGAUCGUAAGACCUUGCACUAUUGGAGCGGCCGAUAUCGGAUUAGCUAGUUGGUGAGGUAACGGCUCACCAAGGCGACGAUCCGUAGCUGGUUUGAGAGGACGACCAGCCACACUGGGACUGAGACUCGGCCCAGACUCCUACGGGAGGCAGCAGUGGGGAAUUUUGGACAAUGGGGGCAACCCUGAUCCAGCCAUCCCGCGUGUGCGAUGAAGGCCUUCGGGUUGUAAAGCACUUUUGGCAGGAAAGAAACGUCGCGGGCUAAUACCCCGUGGAACUGACGGUACCUGCAGAAUAAGCACCGGCUAACUACG
rnacentral:rRNA from 1 species